rnacentral:rRNA from 1 species
UACAGAGGGUGCAAGCGUUAAUCGGAAUUACUGGGCGUAAAGCGUGCGUAGUCGGUUAUCUAAGUCGGAUGUGAAAAUCCCCCGGGCUCAACCUGGGGAAUUGCAUUCGAAAACUGAAUAGCUAGAGUUCGGCAGAGGGAAGUGGAAUUUCCGGUGUAGCGGUGAAAAUGCGCAGAUAUCAGGAAGAACACCCGUGGCGAAGGCGGCUCUCUGGGACGGUACUGACGCUGAGACGCGAAAGCGUGGGGAGCAAACAGG